AACCAGAAGAAAGGAAUCGCAGACGCAUAAACAACCUCUGCAUGUAUUGUGCUUCAAAUGCACAUACUGUAAGAGAGUGUCCUAUCUUACAAAGGCAGAAGAAACUGGGAUCUACACCAGCAAAUCAGUGAAGCCAUCAUCGACUCUGGGGCACAUUCUUCCUAUAUUGAUUCUGUUUUUGUCACUAUAAAUAAAAUACCCACUGUGUUGAAAGCAA